rnacentral:rRNA from 1 species
GAACCGGCUCAGGACGAACGCUGGCGGCGUGCCUAAUACAUGCAAGUCGAACGAACUCUGGUAUUGAUUGGUGCUUGCAUCAUGAUUUACAUUUGAGUGAGUGGCGAACUGGUGAGUAACACGUGGGAAACCUGCCCAGAAGCGGGGGAUAACACCUGGAAACAGAUGCUAAUACCGCAUAACAACUUGGACCGCAUGGUCCGAGUUUGAAAGAUGGCUUCGGCUAUCACUUUUGGAUGGUCCCGCGGCGUAUUAGCUAGAUGGUGGGGUAACGGCUCACCAUGGCAAUGAUACGUAGCCGACCUGAGAGGGUAAUCGGCCACAUUGGGACUGAGACACGGCCCAAACUCCUACGGGAGGCAGCAGUAGGGAAUCUUCCACAAUGGACGAAAGUCUGAUGGAGCAACGCCGCGUGAGUGAAGAAGGGUUUCGGCUCGUAAAACUCUGUUGUUAAAGAAGAACAUAUCUGAGAGUAACUGUUCAGGUAUUGACGGUAUUUAACCAGAAAGCCACGGCUAACUACGUGCCAGCAGCCGCGGUAAUACGUAGGUGGCAAGCGUUGUCCGGAUUUAUUGGGCGUAAAGCGAGCGCAGGCGGUUUUUUAAGUCUGAUGUGAAAGCCUUCGGCUCAACCGAAGAAGUGCAUCGGAAACUGGGAAACUUGAGUGCAGAAGAGGACAGUGGAACUCCAUGUGUAGCGGUGAAAUGCGUAGAUAUAUGGAAGAACACCAGUGGCGAAGGCGGCUGUCUGGUCUGUAACUGACGCUGAGGCUCGAAAGUAUGGGUAGCAAACAGGAUUAGAUACCCUGGUAGUCCAUACCGUAAACGAUGAAUGCUAAGUGUUGGAGGGUUUCCGCCCUUCAGUGCUGCAGCUAACGCAUUAAGCAUUCCGCCUGGGGAGUACGGCCGCAAGGCUGAAACUCAAAGGAAUUGACGGGGGCCCGCACAAGCGGUGGAGCAUGUGGUUUAAUUCGAAGCUACGCGAAGAACCUUACCAGGUCUUGACAUACUAUGCAAAUCUAAGAGAUUAGACGUUCCCUUCGGGGACAUGGAUACAGGUGGUGCAUGGUUGUCGUCAGCUCGUGUCGUGAGAUGUUGGGUUAAGUCCCGCAACGAGCGCAACCCUUAUUAUCAGUUGCCAGCAUUAAGUUGGGCACUCUGGUGAGACUGCCGGUGACAAACCGGAGGAAGGUGGGGAUGACGUCAAAUCAUCAUGCCCCUUAUGACCUGGGCUACACACGUGCUACAAUGGAUGGUACAACGAGUUGCGAACUCGCGAGAGUAAGCUAAUCUCUUAAAGCCAUUCUCAGUUCGGAUUGUAGGCUGCAACUCGCCUACAUGAAGUCGGAAUCGCUAGUAAUCGCGGAUCAGCAUGCCGCGGUGAAUACGUUCCCGGGCCUUGUACACACCGCCCGUCACACCAUGAGAGUUUGUAACACCCAAAGUCGGUGGGGGUAACCUUUUAGGAACCACCGCCUAAGUGGGACAGAGAUUAGGGUGAAUCUAANGGGGUUGCCCC